GAGUGGCGAACUGGUGAGUAACACGUGGGAAACCUGCCCAGAAGCGGGGGAUAACACCUGGAAACAGAUGCUAAUACCGCAUAACAACUUGGACCGCAUGGUCCGAGUUUGAAAGAUGGCUUCGGCUAUCACUUUUGGAUGGUCCCGCGGCGUAUUAGCUAGAUGGUGGGGUAACGGCUCACCAUGGCAAUGAUACGUAGCCGACCUGAGAGGGUAAUCGGCCACAUUGGGACUGAGACACGGCCCAAACUCCUACGGGAGGCAGCAGUAGGGAAUCUUCCACAAUGGACGAAAGUCUGAUGGAGCAACGCCGCGUGAGUGAAGAAGGGUUUCGGCUCGUAAAACUCUGUUGUUAAAGAAGAACAUAUCUGAGAGUAACUGUUCAGGUAUUGACGGUAUUUAACCAGAAAGCCACGGCUAACUACGUGCCAGCAGCCGCGGUAAUACGUAGGUGGCAAGCGUUGUCCGGAUUUAUUGGGCGUAAAGCGAGCGCAGGCGGUUUUUUAAGUCUGAUGUGAAAGCCUUCGGCUCAACCGAAGAAGUGCAUCGGAAACUGGGAAACUUGAGUGCAGAAGAGGACAGUGGAACUCCAUGUGUAGCGGUGAAAUGCGUAGAUAUAUGGAAGAACACCAGUGGCGAAGGCGGCUGUCUGGUCUGUAACUGACGCUGAGGCUCGAAAGUAUGGGUAGCAAACAGGAUUAGAUACCCUGGUAGUCCAUACCGUAAACGAUGAAUGCUAAGUGUUGGAGGGUUUCCGCCCUUCAGUGCUGCAGCUAACGCAUUAAGCAUUCCGCCUGGGGAGUACGGCCGCAAGGCUGAAACUCAAAGGAAUUGACGGGGGCCCGCACAAGCGGUGGAGCAUGUGGUUUAAUUCGAAGCUACGCGAAGAACCUUACCAGGUCUUGACAUACUAUGCAAAUCUAAGAGAUUAGACGUUCCCUUCGGGGACAUGGAUACAGGUGGUGCAUGGUUGUCGUCAGCUCGUGUCGUGAGAUGUUGGGUUAAGUCCCGCAACGAGCGCAACCCUUAUUAUCAGUUGCCAGCAUUAAGUUGGGCACUCUGGUGAGACUGCCGGUGACAAACCGGAGGAAGGUGGGGAUGACGUCAAAUCAUCAUGCCCCUUAUGACCUGGGCUACACACGUGCUACAAUGGAUGGUACAACGAGUUGCGAACUCGCGAGAGUAAGCUAAUCUCUUAAAGCCAUUCUCAGUUCGGAUUGUAGGCUGCAACUCGCCUACAUGAAGUCGGAAUCGCUAGUAAUCGCGGAUCAGCAUGCCGCGGUGAAUACGUUCCCGGGCCUUGUACACACCGCCCGUCACACCAUGAGAGUUUGUAACACCCAAAGUCGGUGGGGUAACCCAUAGGA
rnacentral:rRNA from 1 species